rnacentral:rRNA from 1 species
UAAUACGAAGGGUGCAAACGUUGCUCGGAAUCAUUGGGCGUAAAGCGCACGUAGGCGGCCUUGCAAGUCGGAUGUGAAAUCCCACGGCUCAACCGUGGACGUGCAUCCGAAACUGCUCGGCUCGAGUAUGGAAGAGGGUCGCGGAAUUCCCGGUGUAGAGGUGAAAUUCGUAGAUAUCGGGAGGAACACCAGUGGCGAAGGCGGCGACCUGGGCCAAUACUG